rnacentral:rRNA from 1 species
UACAGAGGUGGCGAGCGUUGUUUGGAUUCAUUGGGCGUAAAGGGUCCGUAGGCGGUCCGGAAAGUCGGGUGUGAAAUCCCACAGCUCAACUGUGGAACUGCAUUCGAAACUCCCGGACUAGAGUGUGAGAGGGGUGAAGGGAAUUCCCGGUGUAAGGGUGAAAUCUGCAGAGAUCGGGAGGAACACCAGUCGCGAAGGCGCUUCACUGGCCCACUACUGACGCUCAGGGACGAAAGCUAGGGUAGCAAACGGG